rnacentral:rRNA from 1 species
CCUACGGGUGGCUGCAGUGGGGAAUUUUGGACAAUGGGCGAAAGCCUGAUCCAGCCAUGCCGCGUGCGGGAAGAAGGCCUUCGGGUUGUAAACCGCUUUAGUCCGGGAAAAAGGGGUGCGAGGAUAAUACCCUUGUGCUUUGAUGGUACUGGAAGAAUAAGCACCGGCUAACUACGUGCCAGCAGCCGCGGUAAUACGUAGGGUGCGAGCGUUAAUCGGAAUUACUGGGCGUAAAGCGUGCGCAGGCGGUCUUGUAAGACAGUCGUGAAAGCCCC